rnacentral:rRNA from 1 species
GGCCACACUGGGAGUGAGACACGGCCCAGAUUCUUCCGGGAGGCACCAGUAGGGAAUCUUUCCCCAAUGGACGAAAGUCUGACGGAGCAAACGCCCGCGUGAGUGAUGAAGGUUUUCGGAUUCGUAAAGCUUUGUUGUUUAGGGAAGAACAAGUGCGAGAGUAACUGCUCGCACCUUGACGGUACCUAACCAGAAAGCCACGGCUAACUACGUGCCAGCAGCCGCGGUAAUACGUUGGUGGCAAGCGUUGUCCGGAAUUAUUGGGCGUAAAGGGCUCGCAGGCGGUUUCUUAAGUCUGAUGUGAAAGCCCCCGGCUCAACCGGGGAGGGUCAUUGGAAACUGGGAAACUUGAGUGCAGAAGAGGAGAGUGGAAUUCCACGUGUAGCGGUGAAAUGCGUAGAGAUGUGGAGGAACACCAGUGGCGAAGGCGACUCUCUGGUCUGUAACUGACGCUGAGGAGCGAAAGCGUGGGGAGCGAACAGGAUUAGAUACCCUGGUAGUCCACGCCGUAAACGAUGAGUGCUAAGUGUUAGGGGGUUUCCGCCCCUUAGUGCUGCAGCUAACGCAUUAAGCACUCCGCCUGGGGAGUACGGUCGCAAGACUGAAACUCAAAGGAAUUGACGGGGGCCCGCACAAGCGGUGGAGCAUGUGGUUUAAUUCGAAGCAACGCGAAGAACCUUACCAGGUCUUGACAUCCUCUGACAACCCUAGAGAUAGGGCUUUCCCUUCGGGGACAGAGUGACAGGUGGUGCAUGGUUGUCGUCAGCUCGUGUCGUGAGAUGUUGGGUUAAGUCCCGCAACGAGCGCAACCCUUGAUCUUAGUUGCCAGCAUUUAGUUGGGCACUCUAAGGUGACUGCCGGUGACAAACCGGAGGAAGGUGGGGAUGACGUCAAAUCAUCAUGCCCCUUAUGACCUGGGCUACACACGUGCUACAAUGGACAGAACAAAGGGCUGCGAGACCGCAAGGUUUAGCCAAUCCCAUAAAUCUGUUCUCAGUUCGGAUCGCAGUCUGCAACUCGACUGCGUGAAGCUGGAAUCGCUAGUAAUCGCGGAUCAGCAUGCCGCGGUGAAUACGUUCCCGGGCCUUGUACACACCGCCCGUCACACCACGAGAGUUUGUAACACCCGAAGUCGGUGAGGUAACCUUUAUGGAGCCAGCCGCCGAAGGUGGACAGA